rnacentral:rRNA from 1 species
GAUGAACGCUAGCUACAGGCUUAACACAUGCAAGUCGAGGGGCAGCAUUUUUAUAGCAAUAUAAAAGAUAGCGACCGGCGGACGGGUGAGUAACGCGUGGGUAACCUGCCUCACACUGGGGGAUAACAGUCAGAAAUGACUGCUAAUACCGCAUAAGCGCACGAGACCGCAUGGUUUUGUGUGAAAAACUCCGGUGGUGUGAGAUGGACCCGCGUUGGAUUAGCCAGUUGGCGGGGUAACGGCCUACCAAAGCGACGAUCCAUAGCCGGCCUGAGAGGGUGAACGGCCACAUUGGGACUGAGACACGGCCCAGACUCCUACGGGA